rnacentral:rRNA from 1 species
UCUGGGAAACUGCCUGAUGGAGGGGGAUAACUACUGGAAACGGUAGCUAAUACCGCAUAACGUCGCAAGACCAAAGAGGGGGACCUUCGGGCCUCUUGCCAUCGGAUGUGCCCAGAUGGGAUUAGCUAGUAGGUGGGGUAACGGCUCACCUAGGCGACGAUCCCUAGCUGGUCUGAGAGGAUGACCAGCCACACUGGAACUGAGACACGGUCCAGACU